rnacentral:lncRNA from 1 species
UCCAUAUCACAUUAGCUCCUGUGCUUUAUUCUGUUCUCAUAUAGAGGGAGAAAAUAAGCAGUGAUAAGGUGCCUUUUUUAAAGUUCAAAAAUCUGUUUCACUGCUCGCUAUCGCCUAUCCACCCUCCCCUGCCCAGAAUUACAGCAGACCCACUGAUAAGUCUUCGGACAUGUAAUUGCUAAACCAAAGUUGUAGUGUGAUAUAAGAACCCCUCAAGUUGGGAUGGCAUAAUAUGAAGUAAUAGUAAACUAGGUGUCGAGAAACCUGGGUCUCCUCUAAGCUCUGUAAUUUUCGAAAACUAUAUAACUUUCUUGGGCUUCAUGUUUCUUACACAUUAGUAACAAAAAACAACAACAAAAAAAGAGGAGUAAACAAGAUGACUUCUUAGGAUUCUUUUCAGGGCUAUGUUUGAAUCCAUUAAAUUACCCAAUUUCUCUCUUCUCUCAGCUCCUUUGGGGCUUUGCUCAAACGUCUCUGGGAAAACCUAUUUCAUUCAUUUUCAGUUUCAUGGUCUACUUUUUACAUAUCUGUCUUCCUUGCUGGGCAGCGGGUUUCUCAAAAACAGAAAAUAAUUUUUAUUCAGUUUUACAUAAACCUAGUUGAAUGCAGUAAACAUAGCAGUUGUGGAAAGAGUGUUAGUUGAAUGAAUGCGGACAGCUUUGGACAAUCAAGCUAUAAUUUAUAUCACUUAUCCAACAAUAUGCAGCAAUAUUGAAUGUAAGCAUCAAGAAAUAAUGUUUGCUGAUUCUGUUCCCUUACCAUUAAUUUUUUAAAAAUCAAUUAAAUAAAAUAGAUUAAAAAAUAUACUUACGGCUGUGCUUCCAGCUCCCAUUCUAAUGGUCCGACACAGGAAGACUUUCUGAAGUAGUUUUCUUUUGUUGUAUUUGCUUUGAGCUAAAGAAAAUUCCAUGAUGAGUACCAGACUCUUAAAAGAAGGAAGACAGAGAGGGUCAUUGUUUAGUCUCAGCUUCUUUGUUGGAUAUUUCUCACUACCUUUUAAUAUAGGCUAAUGAAGCCUUAGGUCAGGUACCAAUUUCACCUACUAGUGAUUCAUGGGAAGGUAGUGAUUUUGUCAGAAAUUGUUGGGCUGUGUGUUUUUAAUUAGCAUUUCAAUUUACCUUCAAAUACUCCGUUCCAAAAUCAGUAGAUUAUUUCUCCUACAGAGGCCUUAAAACUUCCAGAUGUGUUUACUGCCCUGAUUAGAGCUUGCUUCUUUUGCUAUUGACUAGAUUUCAGUUUUCUUUAGAAGAAUAUCAUUAUAAUCCAAAAUGAGUUGUACUUCUUAGAUUGUAAAUUUGUUUCAACAUAAACAAGUCUAUCUCCAGCUGGCUGGGCUUCUAAGUGGAAAAGUGUAUCCUCGGAAAAAAGCUCGCUUCGUGGAGACCUGGCACAGGUGGGGGAGAGCACCUUGACAAAGCCCUCAGUCAGCAUUAUAACCAGAAGGUCUUGCAAACUGAACAGGUGCUUUUAUGUGUUUACAAGUGGUGGACAGGCUGCUAUACUAGACAUUUGCUGUGGUGACUCCUUGAUUGUAUCCUCAGUUCUUUAUAAAAUGAAACAUUUAAAAAUAUUUUUUAAUAUUUUUACUUUUUCUGUUAUACAUUUCAUCCAUCUUUUUUUUUUCUUUGAGUGGCCACAUCCAAAACAGUGGAGUGUGACCAGUACAAAACAGUCUUACAUGGUUCUCUCCCUGUGCUCAUUGAAAUAGAAGGUGCUACCAUGUUGCAAUAAAUAGCUCAUCUCAAAUUCGAUGAUGCCUGAUGAGAAUCCUCAGUCACACUUCCCAUUCUGAUUGCUAUUGGCCGGGAAAUCAGCCUUUGUCCCUGCUCAGGAGGAUGGUAUCUGAUCCUCCUUCACCCUAUCAUUCAAGCUCCAUUAUUGUUAUCCCCCAAGCCUCAGUGUGGCAAAGGGAAGUGAAGAAACACCUGGAAAAGUAUCUGUGAAUGAGAAGUUAUGGAAAGCUUCCUGAAGACAGAAUCUCUCCAUGGCUUCUUCCCACAGAGGUAGAAGAUGCCAGAAUCCCUGGGUGAGAUGAUGAUAAUAAAGAAAAGACAUGAUUUUUAUACUAGCAAGUCAGAAAGAUGAAUGUAAGAGCAGCAAGAUGAAGAGGAAGGAUUUCUUUCAUAUGAAAAUCAAUGUAGAAUCUUAGUUCCCUUAGAGACAUUGGCAAAACAAUACUUUGCUUGUCAUAGAAUGGACAUUCAGUAAAUAUUUUGUUAAUGACCUUAAUAUGUAGUAAAAUAGAGAAAUGGAAGUGUUGACAAGAUGUAUGUGGAGAAUUGGGGGCAAAGGGAUGUGGAAGGAUUGGGUGAUAACUAGGAUCUAAGCUCAUAAUGCAAAUUUGAUAUCAUUCUCCUUAGAUUAAGGAUGGUACCCACACUUGACGUCCGGCUUUCCCAAGUGGAUCUUGUUCAUGACCCUGGAAACUUCCAGAAAUUUCUAACAUUUGAAACAAGACAUGUUUUGAAGUCAUGGAGACAUGUUUUGAAUUUUUUUCGUGGGGCUUGGUAGGACUGGGGAGACACAUCCAGUUUGCCAGCUCUUAGUAUAUUGUCAUCACAGAGCAUAAGAUUAUAAUUCUCUUUACCUUUGUCCUGUACACUUGAGUGUUUUUAUUUAAUCUUUCAGUACAUAUAAGGCAUGUGAGAGUUAAUUAUGUCAUCUGAAAAGUACUUUGAAAACUACUUAGGAAAAGAUGCUGGAUAAAUAAGACAUUUUAUUAGCUUACAGGAUGCAAGUUUGGCCAAGCUAGUGGUAUUUUGGGGAUCACUUUUUUAAAAAAUCAAAGACAGAACACAUAUUUAUUUUUUCUUUUUUCUUUUUUUCUUUUUCUUUUUUUUUUUUGUCUUUUUUUUACUUGUUUUUUUCCCACUGUACAGCAAGGGGAUCAAGUUAUCCUUACAUGUAUACAUUUUUUUUCCCCAUCCUUUGUUCUGUUGCAAUAUGAGUAUCUAGACAUAGUUCUCAAUGCUACUCACCAGGAUCUCCUUGUAAAUCUAUUCUAAGUUGUAUCUGAUAACCCCAAGCUCCUGAUCCCUCCCACUCCUCCCUCUCCCAUUGGGCAGCCACACGUCUGUUUUCCAAGUCCAUGAUUUUCUUUUCUGUGGAGAUGUUCAUUUGUGCUGGAUAUUAGAUUCCAGUUAUAAGUGAUAUCAUAUGGUAUUUGUCUUUGUCUUUCUGACUCAUUUCACUCAGUAUGAGAUUCUCUAGUUCCAUCCAUGUUGCUGCAAAUGGCAUUAUGUCAUUCUUUUUUAUGGCUGAGUAGUAUUCCAUUGAAGAACACAUAUUUAUUGACAUUCAAGCUAGGAAGGCAACACUAAUGAUGGACACGAUGUGACUAUGGAAUAGCUGACAAUCAUACAAUUUAAUGAAAAAUUACAGAAUGUAAAUGCUACAUUUAUUUAGAGAGAAGGGAGAUCAUUUGGGCUAAAGUGUUUGAGGAGAGAACUUAUGAGCAAAGUGACUCCAGAGCCAGGACAUAAAAUCUGGUAAAUUUUUUUGAUAGUUUGGUGUUUUAUGUGAGGAGUUCAGGGACUGAGCACCAGGAGGUAUAUCUGGGGCUCUCUGGGUUACUUGUAACAGGGAAUGGGCAGGGUGUGCUAGGCUGUGGAUUUGUUUUCCACUGGAAACCCUUCUCUUGGCUUAUUACAGAUGCUGCAUACAGGUCUUUGCUGGGGAUGGCCACUGUUGCAAGUGUCUCUGCAAACUUCUUUUGUAUGAACGUUGUAUAAAUUCUAUUUUAAAACUUCUUUAACAGUACCCCAAGAGACCUAUUAAAGAUAGCAAUAGCAUGGCUUCCUCUCAAGAAUGGAUCUGAAAUGGACCCUACAAUGGUAGAGUUGGCCUGGGAUUUCCUCCUUCAUCCCCAAUUCCUUGCCACCUGCUUAUGCUGACAGUCUUGGCCCGAUAGAGCCAUAGGGCCUCAUAAAAUUUGAGAUUAUCCACCAGUGAUUCUCUGCUAUUCCGCUAAGCAGGGCCUAGUGGCAUUUGGAAAUAGGGUUGACUACAAAGAGUUAGAAGCUUUUAGUGCCCAGAGUCAGGGAUGCUAAGUCUCUUUCAUGCCAGGGGCAGCCCUGCCCAGGAAGAAUGCCAGUAGACCCCUGUUGAAAGCUGAGUGCAACAUCCUUACUUUAUUUAGAGGUGAGGAAAUGAGAGUGACAAGACUUCCCUAGGAUUAAACUCCAAUGCGGCCAUGACAGAUUUAUAACCCAGUUGUUCUAGGCUCUUUUCAAGGGCUCCUUCUGCUACACCACAGUCCCACUCAUAAACAUUGAUUUUCACCAUGGAAUAGCGUGCUGUUGAGCUUUGUCAUUCCCAUGUGCGGGUGACAAUCAGCCAUGUUAACUACCUGAGUUGGGGGUUAUGAAUUGAGACAAGUGACACUUGAACAGUGGUUUUUUUUCUCUGGGGACACAGAGAUUUGCCCGUGAGUGAGGGUUGGCAGAUGCCCUCUGAGGUGGCAACCACUGCAGAAGCCUAACGGUAGGUUGGCAUUCUGGAAGGGCCUGGAGGAGGCUUUGGAAUCACACAAAUCUGGCUUGUUGGAGGCACUUGAAUCCAGCUCAGCCCUUUACUACCUUUAUGACUCUCAGCAAGUUAAUUAAACACUCUGAACUUUAUCUGAAAAAUGGGGAUGGUGAUUCUUACUUCGAAAAGCUGUUGUAGUUUCAAUUUAUUUAAACAACGGCUGGCCCAAGAGAAGAGACUGUUCUAAGAGAAGAGACUUAAAACCUUCACUCAUGAAAGAUCACUUGAAGCUAAUUGCUGCUUUUUGCCCCCUCCUCCUUUCUCUGAUCCACCAAAGUUAGGGCUUGAAUGAGUCCUUGAAGUAUCUCUUUUGUUUGAAAUAUUGAAAUUUCCCUCCUUUGGAAGAGGACUGCUGGCCAGAGCUUAGUUUCUUGUGACUUCUCUGUUAAUGUGCCCAGACUGUUACCACACCACAGAAAUGAAAAGUCUACCAGAUGUUUACUGGUGGCUUAUGAAAUUUCACUUUUCUUUCUUUUUUUUUUUUUUUGCCUUUUCUAGGUCUGCUCCGGCAGCAUAUGGAGGUUCCCAGGCUAGGGGUCUAAUUGGAGCUGUAGCUGCCGGCUUACGCCACAGCCACAGCAACUCAGGAUCCGAGCCAUGUCUGCAACCUACACCACAGCUCACGGCAACGCCGGACCCUUAACCCACUGAGCAAGGCCAGAGAUCAAACCUGCAACCUCAUGGUUCCUAGUCGGAUUCAUUAACCACUGAGCCACAAUGGGAACUCCCAGAUCAGUAAUAAAAGCCAUUCCUGGAUGUAUAUGUUUGUCAGAGAGAUUUCUCUCUGUCGAUGAUGAGAGACCCUUCAUAGGCAAAGUGAUACUUCUUCUGAGUUAAGGGACAGUUGAAAGUUGGCCAGUUGGGGUGGUGGGGAUUAUGGUAAAAGGCCUUUCUGGGUAAAAAAUAGCUUAUGAGGAUACAUCGUAAUGCAGGAGAACCCAGAAGGGUGCACACAAAAGCCAAAGAGUGUUUCAGGCCUUGACUUUGAAAACAUUUGCAGACUCUGACCCCCAAGGGCACAUUUGCCCAUUAUUGAAAUGCUUUAAAGUUGCUUCUGUUUGUUACAAGUUAAUUCUCUUAAAGGCAAAAUCAUGAGUCUUCUACAGAUAGAAAACGAACAGACGUAAAAUAAUACAGAUAUUAAUUAAUGAAGGAACUUGAAGAGAUGUUAUAGCUAUUUUUAAAAAGAAGUAUGAGUGUAUAUACAGUAGCAGAACGUUGAAAUGAAUCUGCAAACUCUGAUCCAUCUGUAGAGCAGUAAUCAGUUACAUUCCACUGGAUACAACUGAUUUGCAUUCAUAUGGACAAAAAUCAAUUCUACAGCUCAUUUUUACAACUUCUGAUGCCUUGUAACAGUAAAAUAGCAUCGUCAAAGACAAAGGCCCAGACCUCUAUGGGAUCAGUUAAUUCCUGGAGGCACAACAUUCCAUUGAGAAGAUAUUCAGUAAUCUCCUUGCUCAUUUCACAGUCCAGAGUUUUUCCUUAUACCUUCAUGCUUCCAUUGGCCAUUGUUCCUUCUUGACCUCCUAAUUCAUAACGAAUAUUUGGUGACACAGGAUUCUUGUAACUUCGGGAAUUUUCUGUCUUUCCUAGAUAUAUACUUAUUCAAAAAAACUUAAUUAUGGGAAAUUUUAAGCAUGUAAAAAGUAAAGAGAAUAGCAUUUUGAACCCCAGGUACCCAUUACUCAGUUUUCAGAGUCAUCAAUAUUUUGCUAUUUUUUUUCUUUGGUGGCCACCCCUGACAUGCAUGGAAGUUCCUGGGCCAGGGACUGAAUCCUAGCCACAGCUGAGACUUACACAGCGGCUUCGGCAAUGCCAGAUCUUUUGACCCACUGCAGUGGGCAGGGAAUCAAUCCGAGACUCCUCAGAGACCAGAGCCAUUGCAGUCAGAUUCUUAACCACUGCACCACAGCAGGAACUCCAAUAUUUUGCUAUCCUUAUUUCAUCUUUCCGCCCUGCCUCUCCCUGAGUAUUUUAAAGCAAUCUCAGACAUCUUGUCUUUUUAAUAUAUGUGUUUAACAAGUAAUCCUCCUAUUUUCUGAAUAGCAAUAUGACCUGUAUUUUAUGGAGAAUAGAGAGAUAAUACUUUAUGAAAGGACAUUAUACUCUUUAGACUUGACUUUGUGAUAUGAAGGAGGCGUGUGUGUGUGUAUGUGUGUGUUCAUAUACACACACAGACACAUACACACACAUAUACAUCCAUGUAGGACUGGUUCCCUUUUGUCAUUCAGGGUCCAGCUCAAAUGUCACUUUCUCCAAAGGAAUCUUCUGACCCCCAGCUAGGUCAUGCUGUCAUAUAACCCUGCUUUAUUUUCUUCACAGCACUUAUCACUAUCUAAUAUUAUCUUGUUUAUUAAUUUGUUUUUCUAUUUUUUUUGUCCAUCACCACCAACAAAGAUGUAAACUCCCUAACAGGACAGACCUUUUCUGUCUUGGUCACGUUAUAUCCCAUAGAAAAUCCUUAGUAAGUUUUGAUUGAAUAAAUACAUCUUAGUAUUAAGUAUUAAUAGAAGUUAUAUUGGCAUUCUUCCAAAAAUUUUAUUUUCAUUCUACACACCCAAAAACACAUGACUUUCAUGUGCCAAUUCCUAGUGUAUUUACAAUUAUGUGAGAUUUCCUCAUGCUAUGGAUCAAGGAGCUCAUUCUGGGGAAUCAAAGAUAACCCAGGACACCUCUCCAAAAAUGGCCUGAAACUGAUAUAUUCAGUAGCCACUUCAUCUGAUCAGCAAAUAUAGUUAAGAAUUUGUAUUUCUCCCAGAAGGAGGCCAUAACAUAAGGAUUCAGGUAAAAUCUUAUGUGGGAAAGUGAUAAAGGGAAGGAAAGGAGCCAGUAAAGGGUGCAUUGCCAAGAAAGUUACCACCAUUGUCAGCUGGAGUUGAUUAUCUUCCCGAGAGAUUUUGGGACCUUGGGCAAAACACACGUCUCAGAGACCUCUCACCCAUGGUUGAAAGAAUUUGAAUAUUUACCCACCAACUUCCAUCUGUCAUUAUUCCUGGUCACUAACACAAUAGGGUUGGGGGGCAAAGUGGUCUCCAGAUGCAGAAGAAAACCUCUAGGCAAAGAAAUACAGGUGCUGGUGGUUAGAAAUGGGGCCCUGUGUGGUAGUAGGGGUGAGGGAGUUUGGCUGGGGAAGGGACAGGUGACUUGCAUGGGAUAACAAUAUGAUUUUUUAAAUAAAUAUUUUAUUUGGUAUUAAUUUCAGGUUUACAGAAAAGUUGCAAAGACUGUAAAGCCCUGUAGAGUUCCUGUAUAGCCCUUGUCCAGUUUCCCCCAAUAUUAACAUCCACAAUCAUGGUAUAUUCGUCAAA